CCCCAGCGCCACAAGUGGGAACCACUUUUAUUGGGUCUAAAGCAUCCGUAGCCGGUCCGGCAAAUGCCUUGUGAAAUGGUUGCGCUCAACGUAACCACGUGCAAGGUAGACUACCAGACUAGGGACCAGAGGAGGUUGGCGGUAUUCUUGGGGGAGCGGUAAAAUGUUAUAGUCCCAAGAGGACCACCGAUGGCGAAGGCAGCCAACCAAUAUGGAUCCGACGGUGAGGGAUGAAAGCUAGGGGAGCGAUCCG
rnacentral:rRNA from 1 species